NNUCUACUCCCUCCGUCCGAAAAUACUUGUCAUCAAAAUGGAUAAAAAGAGAUGUAUCUAAAACUAAAAUACGUCUAGAUACAUUUCCUUUUAUCCAUUUUGAUGACAAGUAUUUCCAGACGGAGGGAGUAUUUG
rnacentral:pre_miRNA from 1 species